GAUCCUGGCUUAGGACGAACGCUGGCGGCGUGCCUAAUACAUGCAAGUCGAACGGUCUUUCUAUGGAAGCUUGCUUCCACUGAGAAGAUAGUGGCGAACGGGUGAGUAACACGUGGGUAACCUGCCCAUAAGAGGGGGGAUAACAUCCGGAAACGGGUGCUAAUACCGCAUAGUUUUCUUGAUCGCAUGAUCGGGAAAGGAAAGACGGCCUUUGUGCUGUCGCUUAUGGAUGGACCCGCGGCGUAUUAGUUAGUUGGUGAGGUAACGGCUCACCAAGACGAUGAUACGUAGCCGACCUGAGAGGGUGAUCGGCCACAUUGGGACUGAGACACGGCCCAAACUCCUACGGGAGGCAGCAGUAGGGAAUCUUCCGCAAUGGACGAAAGUCUGACGGAGCAACGCCGCGUGAGUGAAAGAAGGUUUUCGGAUCGUAAAACUCUGUUGUCAGAGAAGAACAAGUUGGAGAGUAACUGCUCCAGCCUUGACGGUAUCUGACCAGAAAGCCACGGCUAACUACGUGCCAGCCGCCGC
rnacentral:rRNA from 1 species